rnacentral:misc_RNA from 1 species
GCCCAGUUUCCUUCAUCUUCUUGAAGAUGUCCUCGGCAUCUGGAGGAGGCGAAUCGAUGCUUUUUCCUUCUUUAGUAUUAGUAGCAGCGCUAGCAUUUAGACGAGGAGAAUCGAUGCUUUUUUCUUCUUUAAUAUUAGCAGUAGCACUAGCAGCAGUAGGAUUGUUUGGUAGGGGGAUUUCGCUGUCCUUGUUUCUGUCAAGGCGGAGCUUGAAUUUCUCGAGAAAAGCAUCAUCUGAUGGGUGAUGUUGAUGUUGAUGUUGAUUGGUAUUUCUAGGCGAGCCAGAGAGCUUAACAUUUCUGGGUCCUCUCGGAGUAGGGUAAGACUCAGACCGAGAAUUGUACGAGGGCCUCUCGCCCCUGUCGCCUCUUAAGGGUCUGUUUGGUAUGGGAUGAGGCGGAUUCUGGACUUCUCUUGCAUCAUUAUCUUCAUCAUUGGAAUUGAAAUUGGAACCGAAACCAGUUGUCGGCUCUCGCUUGUAACUAAAAUGGCGUAGAUUUUUGGAAACGAAGCUGGCAAACUGGGAAUGGGGCUUCACUCUAAUGAGCUUCAAUGAUCGACUGUGCGAGGACGCCAUUGUUGAAUAGAAUGAAGGGAUGGAUCCUGCUUCUGCAC